CGGGGUGAGUAAUGUAUGGGGAUCUGCCUGAUGGCGGGGGAUAACUACUGGAAACGGUAGCUAAUACCGCAUAACGUCGCAAGACCAAAGAGGGGGACCUUCGGGCCUCUUGCCAUCGGAUGUGCCCAGAUGGGAUUAGCUAGUAGGUGGGGUAAUGGCUCACCUAGGCGACGAUCCCUAGCUGGUCUGAGAGGAUGACCAGCCACACUGGAACUGAGACACGGUCCAG
rnacentral:rRNA from 1 species